rnacentral:rRNA from 1 species
CCCAAGGUUUCCAGGGGAAGGUUCGUCCGCCCUGGGUUAGUCGGGACCUAAGCCGAGGCCGAAAGGCGUAGGUGAUGGACAACAGGUUGAUAUUCCUGUACCGCCAAUAAGCGUUUGAGAGAUGGAGUGACACAGUAGGAUAAGCUAACCGUACUGUUGGUUAUGUACGGCUAAGCAUUGAGGCAGUCUAAAUAGGCAAAUCCGUUUAGACAAUGCUAGGAUGUGAUGGGGAAGCCCUUCGGGGCGAAGUAGCUGAUUUCACACUGUCAAGAAAAGCUUCUAUCGAGUUUAAAGGCGCCCGUACCGUAAACCGACACAGGUGGGUGAGGAGAGUAUCCUAAGGCCAGCGAGAGAACUAUUGUUAAGGAACUCGGCAAAAUGACCCCGUAACUUAGGGAGAAGGGGUGCCUGUCUAUGACAGGCCGCAGAGAAUAGGCCCAAGCGACUGUUUACCAAAAACACAGGUUUCUGCUAAGUCGCAAGACGAUGUAUAGGAGCUGACGCCUGCCCGGUGCUGGAAGGUUAAGGGGAUCUGUUAGAGCAAUCGAAGCAGUGAACUUAAGCCCCAGUAAACGGCGGCCGUAACUAUAACGGUCCUAAGGUAGCGAAAUUCCUUGUCGGGUAAGUUCCGACCCGCACGAAAGGCGUAACGAUUUGGGCACUGUCUCAACAAUAGACUCGGUGAAAUUGUAAUCCCGGUGAAGAUGCCGGGUACCUGCGACAGGACGGAAAGACCCCAUGGAGCUUUACUGUAGCUUGACGUUGGGUCUUGGUAUUACAUGUACAGGAUAGGUGGGAGACUAUGAAGCAUGGACGCCAGUCUGUGUGGAGUCAUCCUUGGGAUACCACCCUUGUAGUACUGGGAUCCUAACCAUAGGCCUUGAAUCAGGUCUUGGAACACCGUCAGGUGGGCAGUUUGACUGGGGCGGUCGCCUCCUAAAAAGUAACGGAGGCGCUCAAAGGUUUCCUCAGCACGGUCGGAAAUCGUGCGAAGAGUGUAAAGGCAAAAGGAAGCUUGAUUGCAAGACAUACAGGUCGAGCAAGGACGAAAGUCGGACUUAGUGAUCCGGUGGUACCGCAUGGAAGGGCCAUCGCUCAACGGAUAAAAGCUACCCUGGGGAUAACAGGCUUAUCUCCCCCAAGAGUCCACAUCGACGGGGAGGUUUGGCACCUCGAUGUCGGCUCAUCACAUCCUGGGGCUGUAGUAGGUCCCAAGGGUUGGGCUGUUCGCCCAUUAAAGUGGUACGCGAGCUGGGUUCAGAACGUCGUGAGACAGUUCGGUCCCUAUCCGUCGCAGGCGUAGGAAAUUUGAGAAGACCUGUCCUUAGUACGAGAGGACCGGGAUGGACGUACCUCUGGUGUACCAGUUGUUCUGCCAAGGGCAUGGCUGGGUAGCUAUGUACGGAAUGGAUAAGCGCUGAAAGCAUCUAAGCGCGAAGCCAACUUCAAGAUAAGAUUUCCCACCGUAAGGGUAAGACCCCAGGAAGACUACCUGGUUGAUAGGUCGAAGGUGUAAGUGCAGUAAUGUAUUUAGCUUAUCGAUACUAAUAGGUCGAGGACUUGACC